GACGAACGCUGGCGGCGUGCCUAAUACAUGCAAGUCGAACGCACGAAGUUGAAGAGCUUGCUCUUUAACCAAGUGAGUGGCGGACGGGUGAGUAACACGUGGGUAACCUGCCCAUUAGAGGGGGAUAACAUUCGGAAACGGAUGCUAAUACCGCAUAGUUUCAGGGAUCGCAUGAUUCUUGAAGGAAAGGUGGCUCCGGCUACCACUAAUGGAUGGACCCGCGGCGUAUUAGCUAGUUGGUGAGGUAAUGGCUCACCAAGGCAAUGAUACGUAGCCGACCUGAGAGGGUGAUCGGCCACACUGGGACUGAGACACGGCCCAGACUCCUACGGGAGGCAGCAGUAGGGAAUCUUCCGCAAUGGACGGAAGUCUGACCGAGCAACGCCGCGUGAGUGAAGAAGGUUUUCGGAUCGUAAAGCUCUGUUGUAAGAGAAGAACGAGUGUGAGAGUGGAAAGUUCACACUGUGACGGUAUCUUACCAGAAAGGGACGGCUAACUACGUGCCAGCAGCCGCGGUAAUACGUAGGUGGCAAGCGUUAUCCGGAUUUAUUGGGCGUAAAGAGAGUGCAGGCGGUUUUCUAAGUCUGAUGUGAAAGCCUUCGGCUUAACCGGAGAAGUGCAUCGGAAACUGGAUAACUUGAGUGCAGAAGAGGGUAGUGGAACUCCAUGUGUAGCGGUGGAAUGCGUAGAUAUAUGGAAGAACACCAGUGGCGAAGGCGGCUACCUGGUCUGCAACUGACGCUGAGACUCGAAAGCAUGGGUAGUGAACAGG
rnacentral:rRNA from 1 species